UACAGAGGUCCCAAGCGUUGUUCGGAUUCACUGGGCGUAAAGGGUGCGUAGGUGGUCGGGUAAGUCUGAUGUGAAAUCUCCGAGCUUAACUCGGAAAUGGCAUUGGAUACUAUCCGGCUUGAGGGUCGGAGGGGGGACUGGAAUUCUUGGUGUAGCAGUGAAAUGCGUAGAUAUCAAGAGGAACACCAGUGGCGAAGGCGAGUCCCUGGACGACUCCUGACACUGAGGCACGAAAGCUAGGGGAGCAAACAGG
rnacentral:rRNA from 1 species